GCGAGCUUAGCUCAGUUGGGAGAGCAUCAGAUUGUGGCUCUGAGGGUCACGGGUUCGAGCCCCGUAGCUCGCCCA
rnacentral:tRNA from 2 species